rnacentral:rRNA from 1 species
AGAGUUUGAUCAUGGCUCAGAUUGAACGUUGGCGGCAGGCCUAAAACAUGCAAGUCGAACGGUAACAGCGGAAGCUUGCUUCCGGCUGACGAGUGGCGGACGGGUGAGUAACACGUAGGAAUCUACCUAAUAGUGGGGGACAACCCGGGGAAACCCGGGCUAAUACCGCAUACGCUCUACGGAGGAAAGCAGGGGAUCUUCGGACCUUGCGCUAUUGGAGGAGCCCGCGUCGGAUUAGCUAGUUGGUGGGGUAAAGGCCUACCAAGGCGACGAUCCGUAGCUGGUCUGAGAGGACGAUCAGCCACACUGGAACUGAGACACGGUCCAGACUCCUACGGGAGGCAGCAGUUAGGAAUCUUGGGCAAUGGGCGCAAGCCUGACCCAGCCAUGCCGCGUGUGUGAAGAAGGCCUUCGGGUUGCAAAGCACUUUCAGCGGUGAAGAAAAGCUCAGGGCUAAUACCCUUGGGUCUUGACGUUAACCACAGAAGAAGCACCGGCUACUCCGUGCCAGCAGCCGCGGUA